rnacentral:rRNA from 1 species
GGAGGCGAACCGGGGGAACUGAAACAUCUCAGUACCCCGAGGAAAAGAAAUCAACCGAGAUUCCCCCAGUAGCGGCGAGCGGACGGGGAGCAGCCCAGAGUCAACAUCAAUAUUUACCGCAGGAGAAGGGUCUGGAAAGGCCGGCAAUAAAGGGUGAUAGCCCCGUAUCUGAAGCGGUAAGUGUUGUGAACUCGAAGAGUAGGGCGGGACACGUGUUAUCCUGUCUGAAUAUGGGGGGACCAUCCUCCAAGGCUAAAUACUCCUGACUGACCGAUAGUGAACCAGUACCGUGAGGGAAAGGCGAAAAGAACCCCGGCGAGGGGAGUGAAAUAGAACCUGAAACCGUGUACGUACAAGCAGUGGGAGCACCCGAAAGGGUGUGACUGCGUACCUUUUGUAUAAUGGGUCAGCGACUUAUAUUCUGUAGCAAGGUUAACCGCAUAGGGGAGCCGUAGGGAAACCGAGUCUUAACUGGGCGUUAAGUUGCAGGGUAUAGACCCGAAACCCGGUGAUCUAGCCAUGAGCAGGUUGAAG